GAUGAACGCUGGCGGCAUGCCUAAUACAUGCAAGUCGAACGAGAGGAAGGAAAGCUUGCUUUUCUGAAUCUAGUGGCGAACGGGUGAGUAACACGUAGGUAACCUGCCCAUGUGCCCGGGAUAACUUCUGGAAACGGAUGCUAAAACCGGAUAGGUAGCAGACAAGCAUUUGACUGCUAUUAAAGUGGCUAAGGCCAUGAACAUGGAUGGACCUGCGGUGCAUUAGCUAGUUGGCGAGGUAACGGCCCACCAAGGCGACGAUGCAUAGCCGGCCUGAGAGGGCGGACGGCCACAUUGGGACUGAGACACGGCCCAAACUCCUACGGGAGGCAGCAGUAGGGAAUUUUCGUCAAUGGGGGGAACCCUGAACGAGCAAUGCCGCGUGAGUGAAGAAGGUCUUCGGAUCGUAAAGCUCUGUUGUAAGAGAAAAACGACAUUCAUAGGGAAUGAUGAGUGAGUGAUGGUAUCUUACCAGAAAG
rnacentral:rRNA from 1 species